GAUUAACGCUGGCGGCGUGCAUAACACAUGCAAGUCGAACGAAGUGGCGGACGGGUGAGUAACGCGUGAGUAACCGGCCUUAGAGAAGGGGAAAGCCUUUGGAAACGAAGAAUAAUACCCUAUGCGCUAAGAUGGACUUGCGUCUGAUUAGUUAGUUGGUGGGGUAACGGCCUACCAAGACAGCGAUCAGUAGCCGGCAUGAGGGAGCGUACGGCAACAUUGGGACUGAGAGACGGCCCAGACUCUACGGGAGGCAGCAGUGGGGAAUUUUGCACAAUGGGGGAAAGCCUGAGGCAGCGAGGCCGCGAGAUUUAGAAGGCCUUCGGGUUGUAAAAAUCUUGUCUAUGGGAAGCGGUACCAUAGGAAUAAGGACCGGCUAAUUACGUGCCAGCAGCCGCGGUAAUAC
rnacentral:rRNA from 1 species